UCCCAGGUCAAGUUCAGAACAUGUGACCUCCUCACUGAUUGUAUUUAACCAGCAUACGGUAAGAAGUUAGUUAGAUUCCCCAAGGGACACUGGAGAAAGCCUGAAUUCUUAAUCUUCGAAGAAAAAAACAUCAAAAGGAAAAUGGUGUUCAAGCUGUCACUCAUCAGCCUGUUCCUCCUGUUUGUCACUAACACUUUGGGGAGCACUACAACAUUAAUGACCUCAAGGUCUAUGACAGUCUCGAGUCCCGCGAUGAGUCUGAAUUCUCUGACAAUCCCAAAUUCCAAGACAACCUCGAAUUCCAACACAACCUCGAAUUCCAAGACAACCUCGAAUUCCAACACAACCUCGAAUUCCAAGACAACCUCGAAUUCCAACACAACCUCGAAUUCCAAGACAAUCUCGAAUUCCAACACAAUCUCGACUCUCAAGACAACUUCAGAUCUCCAAAGAACCUCAAAUACAAAGAUGACUUCAAAUGACAAGACACUUCUGAAAACAGCAGUGACCCCAAAGAUAGCCACAACCAUGAACACGACGACUAUGGGAAGUGGUGGCACAAAACUGAAUCCAAUGGAGAGCACUCAUUUUCUUUUCUAUAUAAUAUGUUCACUGUUUUGUGUGCACUCAGGCUGAAGUGGACUUGAACUUCUGCAUUCCUAUCUCAGUUCAUUACUAUCUGCCGAAUUACAACAAGCACACUAGGAAAAUCAAAUUUAUUUCAACUUACUUGUUAGGAAGUUAUCAUUAUCCUGGCUUAAUUAGGUUGUAGAUUUUAAUUGUGUAAGUUUAUUACCUUAAUAUAAUGGUUUUCUUCCUUAAAAAUGCUAAAACAAGCAAAAUGCCACAUGUUUGCCUUUUAAAUGUCUGCAGCAUUGAAUUGAAACUCAGAUUUUUACAUUAAAAGUGUAAGAGAAGAAAUU